UACGUAGGGUGCAAGCGUUGUCCGGAAUUAUUGGGCGUAAAGAGCUCGUAGGCGGUUUGUCGCGUCUGCUGUGAAAACUCAGGGCUUAACUCUGAGCUUGCAGUGGGUACGGGCAGACUAGAGUGCGGUAGGGGGGACUGGAAUUCCUGGUGUAGCGGUGAAAUGCGUAGAGAUCUGGAAGAACACCAAAGGCGAAGGCAGCAUCCUGGGAAGUAACUGACGCUCAUGUGCGAAAGCUAGGGGAGCGAACGGG
rnacentral:rRNA from 1 species